UACGUAGGGUGCAAGCGUUGUCCGGAAUUAUUGGGCGUAAAGAGCUCGUAGGCGGUCUGUCGCGUCGGAUGUGAAAAUCCAGGGCUCAACCCUGGACCUGCAUUCGAUACGGGCAGACUAGAGUGCGGUAGGGAGAUUGGAAUUCCUGGUGUAGCGGUGGAAUGCGCAGAUAUCAGGAGGAACACCGAUGGCGAAGGCAGAUCUCUGGGCCGUAACUGACGCUGAGGAGCGAAAGCGUGGGAGCGAACGGGAUU
rnacentral:rRNA from 1 species